UACACACCGCCCGUCACAUCACGAAGGCCCGUUGUACUAGAAGCCGGUAAUUCAACCCGCAAGGGAGAUAGCCGUCCAAGGUAUGACUGGUGAUUGGGGUG
rnacentral:rRNA from 1 species